GAUGAAGAACGCAGCGAAAUGCGAUAAGUAAUGCGAAUUGCAGAAUUCAGUGAGUCAUCGAAUCUUUGAACGCAUAUUGCGCCCUUUGGUAUUCCAUGGGGCACACCCGUUCGAGCGUCAUUACAACACUCAGGCACUGCCUGGUAUUGGGAGUUCGCCCGUAAAAGGGCGCUCCUCAAACUCUUCGGCGUCGCCGUUCCGUCCUCGAAGCGCAGCGAGAAACAACUUUCCAGCGUGAUCGAGGCGGGCCGUGACCGCCAAAAGUAAUUUUGUCUUUACCGUUUGACCUCGAAUCGGGUGGGGAUACCCGCUGAACUUAAGCAUAUCCAAUAAGCGGAGGA
rnacentral:misc_RNA from 1 species